rnacentral:rRNA from 1 species
GUGGGGAAUCUUCCGCUAUGGACGAAAGUCUGACGGAGCGACGCCGCGUGAGUGAAGAAGGCCUUCGGGUCGUAAAGCUCUGUCAUCAGGGACGAACGGCCGGUGGAGUGGAAAGCCACCGGAUUGACGGUACCUGAGAAGGAAGCCACGGCUAACUACGUGCCAGCAGCCGCGGUAAUACGUAGGUGGCAAGCGUUGUCCGGAAUUAUUGGGCGUAAAGCGCGCGCAGGUGGGAUCUUAAGUCCAUUUUUAAAGUUCGGAGCUCAACUCCGUGAUGGGAUGGAAACUGGGAUUCUUGAGUACCGGAGAGGAAAGCGGAAUUCCCCGUGUAGCGGUGAAAUGCGUAGAUAUGGGGAGGAACACCAGUGGCGAAGGCGGCUUUCUGGACGGUGUCUGACACUGAGGCGCGAAAGCCAGGGGAGCGAACGGGAUUAGAAACCCCGGUAGUCC